GUUUGAGGACCAAGCUAACACUUCAGUGAAUUCAACUGGGAAAACACACGGAAGGCAUUUGGAACACAACUUCUAGAAUAUAUCCAGCUGUCUUUUGCCCCUUCCCUUCUGCCUGAGAUGCCAAUCGCUUAUUUUUCCAAGCCCAAACCAAGCCUGGCUCUCAGUUAGAUCACUCCAGCUGAUGCUGGCUGACACUCCUUCCUGAGCAUCUCUGCAGACAUCGAAACACACUCAGAACUUACUCUCUGCCGACCUACGCCAUGGAUGUGGACCUGGCCCCUAACUCCAUGAAAGCUAUGUCUGUUUUUUCACUCCUUCCUACCCUGGAAUGUUG
rnacentral:lncRNA from 1 species